rnacentral:lncRNA from 1 species
CAUACUGGAGAUGCUAGGUGUUGGUGCUCAAGUCAGCAGUCUUAGCUGAACCCAGACUUUGAGCCAAGCCCAUCAGAACAUGAGCCAUAUCACAGAUGAAGAAAUGGCAAUAACAACUCUUUAUUUUUAGCUUGUGAUGAUGUGAGUGCUGAGCCAUCAUUCUCAUUCAAGUCUCUUGUGAUUGAAAAAGACUAAAAGGCACCUAUAGGCACCAUGAACCAUCUGAAAGCCAUACACGUGGAUGGGAAUUCGAUGUGUACUCUGUUAUGUUGGAGGACAGAAUAGAUCUGUUGGGUGAGAGUUAUUAGGAGUUUCAGUUUUACUAAAUGUAAGGACAAACUUGAUAACAAUCAGGGCAUCAAACAAUGGAUGUGCUGCUCUAGCAUCUUAAGUUGGUUUCCAAGAAGCAGCUCCUGAUUUGAUGAAGUACAUGUAAGUGGAGAAUGGAGAAACAGAAAGUAAAAUGAAGACAGAAAGAGACCAAGGAAAUCCGUCAUAUCAAGUAUGCAAUAUCAACCUUUGGAGGGUGACUUGGGCUCCAUCCCAGAAGGGAGCCUUGGAAACAGUGAAAACAGUGAUAGUCACUCUCAGAGUUUCUGAAUCAGAGCAAGAGGACUGGGGUAUUUAUACUCCUGCCCUCAUCACUGGUUAAGUCAUGAGGAGGAGUUGGUAUACAUUCACAGAUACUUCUGGUUCUAUGCGUUGUUAUGUAUGCAGGUAAUGAGGGUCCUGGUAGUCUGAGGGCAGCCCUCUAAUUGCUACUGUUGGGAGCAGAGGCACACCAGAAGCUGGUAGACAGAAAAAAAGUAGUGAAAGUGGUUUGCACGAAUAUCCUUGCAGCUCUGAAAUCACCAGCUCUGCUUUGUCUGUUGUUAUAUUUCAUUUCUGGAGAGAUCCAGGCAGAAGCUGCCAACUUCAACACCUAUUUUGACACUGAG